rnacentral:lncRNA from 1 species
UGUCUCUUACUCUUACUGUGUUUGUUGUAGCGGUGGAAUUGAAGAAAACGCCGUUUGCAUAGAAGCUGCAAUAUGUAGAGUUCAGCUUUUGCUUUAAAAUUUGCAUUGGAAAAUGUGUUUCAACUUGAUUCUUGAAUGCAAAUUGUGUACCAAACACAUACUCUAUACUCCCCUCCCCUCCAAACUCCUGUAUAGACUCUUAGAAUGUGUUUGCAUAAAGUUUUGGAUGGGAGGACUUUGGAUGGUUGAGUCUAUAUUUUGAUAUGUUAAAAAAUUAAAAGAACAACAUGAUAGAUGACAUUUCAAUUACACUUGAUUAAUUUUUAGAAAC